rnacentral:rRNA from 1 species
GAUGAACGCUGGCGGCGUGCCUAAUACAUGCAAGUCGAGCGAACGGACGAGAAGCUUGCUUCUCUGAUGUUAGCGGCGGACGGGUGAGUAACACGUGGAUAACCUACCUAUAAGACUGGGAUAACUUCGGGAAACCGGAGCUAAUACCGGAUAAUAUUUUGAACCGCAGGGUUCAAAAGUAAAAGACGGUCUUUCUGUCACUUAUAGAUGGAUCCGCGCUGCAUUAGCUAGUUGGUAAGGUAACGGCUUACCAAGGCAACGAUGCAUAGACGACCUGAGAGGGGGAUAGGCCACACUGGAACUGAGACACGGUCCAGACUCCUACGGGAGGCAGCAGUAGGGAAUCUUCCGCAAUGGGCGAAAGCAUGACGGAGCAACGCCGCGUGAGUGAUGAAGGUCUUCGGAUCGUAAAAAUCUGUUAUUAGGGAAGAACAUAUGUGUAAGUAAAUGUGCACAUCUUGACGGUACCUAAUCAGAAAGCAACGGCUAACUACGUG